UACGUAGGGGGCGAGCGUUGUCCGGAUUUAUUGGGCGUAAAGAGCUCGUAGGCGGUUUGUCGCGUCUGCGUGUGAAAACUCGGGGCUUAACCCCGGGCCUGCAGUGGGUACGGGCAGACUAGAGUGCGGUAGGGGAGACUGGAAUUCCUGGUGUAGCGGUGAAAUGCGCAGAUAUCAGGAGGAACACCGGUGGCGAAGGCGGGUCUCUGGGCCGAUACUGACGCUGAGGAGCGAAAGCGUGGGGAGCAAACAGG
rnacentral:rRNA from 1 species